AUUGAACGCUGGCGGCAGGCCUAACACAUGCAAGUCGAACGAGUGGCGGAAGGGUGAGUAAUGGCUGGGAAACUGCCUGAUGGAGGGGGAUAACUACGGGAAACGGUAGCUACUACCGCAUACCAUCGGAUGUGCCCAGAUGGGAUUAGGUAGUAGGUGGGGUAAAGGCUCACCUGGGCGACGAGCCCUAGCUGGCCUGAGAGGAUGACCCGCCACACGGGAACUGAGACACGGUCCAGACUCCGACGGGAGGCAGCAGGGGGGAAUAUUGCACAAUGGGCGUAAGCCUGAUUCAGCCAUGCCGCGUGUCUGAAGAAGGCCUUCGGGUUGUAAAGUACUUUCGGCGGGGAGGCGUUACCCGCAGAAGAAGCACCGGCUAACUCCGUGCCAGCAGCCGCGGUAAUAC
rnacentral:rRNA from 1 species